rnacentral:rRNA from 1 species
AUUGAACGCUGGCGGCAUGCCUUACACAUGCAAGUCGAACGGCAGCACGGGGCAACCUGGUGGCGAGUGGCGAACGGGUGAGUAAUGCAUCGGAACGUACCUCUCAGUGGGGGAUAACGUAGCGAAGGUUACGCUAAUACCGCAUAUUCUGGGAGCAGGAAAGCAGGGGAUCGCAAGACCUUGCGCUGAUUGAGCGGCCGAUGUCAGAUUAGCUAGUUGGUGAGGUAAAGGCUCACCAAGGCGACGAUCUGUAGCGGGUCUGAGAGGAUGAUCCGCCACACUGGAACUGAGACACGGUCCAGACUCCUACGGGAGGCAGCAGUGGGGAAUUUUGGACAAUGGGGGCAACCCUGAUCCAGCCAUGCCGCGUGAGUGAAGAAGGCCUUCGGGUUGUAAAGCUCUUUCGGCCGGGAAGAAAUCGCACGGGCUAAUACCCUGUGUGGAUGACGGUACCGGAAUAAGAAGCACCGGCUAACUACGUGCCAGCCGCCGCCGUAAUAC